rnacentral:rRNA from 1 species
GACGAACGCUGGCGGCGUGCUUAACACAUGCAAGUCGAACGGGGCGAAGUGAUAGCUUGCUAUUAUGGAGCCUAGUGGCAAACGGGUGAGUAACGCGUAGGCAAUCUGCCCUUCAGAUGGGGACAACACCUCGAAAGGGGUGCUAAUACCGAAUGACGUUUCCUAGUCGCAUGACCUGGAAACCAAAGGCCGGGCAACCGGUCACUGAAGGAUGGGCCUGCGUCUGAUUAGCUAGUUGGUGGGGUUAACGGCCCUACCAAGGCGACGAUCAGUAGCCGGUCUGAGAGGAUGAACGGCCACAUUGGGACUGAGAUACGGCCCAGACUCCUACGGGAGCAGCAGUGGGGAAUAUU